CAGUCUGUCUGUGUCCAACACGUUCAAUUUAGAAAAGAUCUAAGAAGAAAACACUGGAUUAGCUCCCAUUGUAAUCCACAUUUCUUCAAAAUUUGUUUUAGUUUAUGGGUGAAUAACCUGCUCUUUAGCCAAUUUACAAAAAUCUCAGAAGAGUGUUUACAAAAGUAAAAUAUCUUUGACGCUAGACUGCAAAAACUCUAAUCUAAGCAAGCUACAAUUUAACAGACGCUUUAAUCCAAAGUGAUGAACAUCAGAGAGAAAGAACAACACAAGCAAGGACCUAGAGAGGAGGAAACAAGGUCAGGAAGUGCAAACAAACAGCUUUAAGUCUGAUCAGACACACAGGUGCUGACAGGAAGUGACCAGAGGUGCUGACAGGAAGUGACCAGAGGCAGAGCACAACAUCGACAGCAGUUCUUAACAGUUCCAAUCAGCAUCAAAACAUCCUUAACACAGUCAUCAUCAUGAUUAUCAUUAAGGUCAGAGCUGGGUCUUUAGCUUUUUUUAAAGGUGCAAAGGAUCCGAGUACACUUGACCCCAAAAUCUGGUUCAUUUGUUUGUGUGAAGACAAACUUACUGUUCUCAUACCGUACUCGGGUACUGUGUCCGAGUAUGCAUGAAGAGGUGGUCUCAGGCACAAUCCAUGAGUACUCGAGAUGUUCUACCUAAACAGUUAUUAAGUCCUAUUUCUUCCCACUGGAGUGUAGCUGUGUAAAGACUUUCACUUUCAGCCUGAUAAACUCAGUAACUGUACUUAGAAGACAGCGUCUACGCGUGCGUUAA